GAUGAACGCUAGCGGGAGGCCUAACACAUGCAAGCCGAGCGGGAUUUGAGACUAGCUUGCUAGUCUUAAUGAGAGCGGCGUACGGGUGCGGAACACGUGUGCAACCUGCCUUUAUCUGGGAGAUAGCCUUUCGAAAGGAAGAUUAAUAUCCCAUAAUAUAAUGAUUGGCAUCAAUUAUUAUUGAAAGCUCCGGCGGAUAGAGAUGGGCACGCGGAAGAUUAGAUAGUUGGUGAGGUAACGGCUCACCAAGUCGAUGAUCUUUAGGGGGCCUGGGAGGGUGAUCCCCCACACUGGUACUGAGACACGGACCAGACUCCUACGGGAGGCAGCAGUGAGGAAUAUUGGACAAUGGGUGAAAGCCUGAUCCAGCCAUCCCGCGUGAAGGAUUAAGGACCUAUGGUUUGUAAACUUCUUUUCUACAGGGAUAAACCUACUCUCGUGAGAGUAGCUGAAGGUACUGUAGGAAUAAGCACCGGCUAACUCCGUGCCAGCCGCCGCCGUAA
rnacentral:rRNA from 1 species